rnacentral:rRNA from 1 species
CCUACGGGUGGCAGCAGUGAGGAAUAUUGGUCAAUGGUCGGGAGCCUGAACCAGCCAAGCCGCGUGAAGGAUGAAGGUCCAGAGUAUCGUAAACCUCUUUUGUCAGGGGACAAAGUCGGGCACGUGUGCCCGGCUGAGUGUACCUGACGAAAAAGCAUCGGCUAACUCCGUGCCAGCAGCCGCGGUAAUCCGGAGGAUGCGAGCGUUAUCCGGAUUUAUUGGGUUUAAAGGGUGCGCAGGCGGUCUGUUAAGUCAGCGGUAAAAGCCCGGGGCUCAACCCCGGCCCGCCGUUGAAACUGGCAGUCUUGAGUGGGAGAGAAGUAUGCGGAAUGCGCGGUGUAGCGGUGAAAUGCAUAGAUAUCGCGCAGAACUCCGAUUGCGAAGGCAGCAUGCCGGCUCCAGACUGACGCUGAGGCACGAAAGCGUGGGUAUCGAACAGGAUUAGAUACCCCAGUAGUC